AUUUAAUCCCAGUAGAUAUAAAUUCUUAUACUAAUACUAGCCUAUUCAGACAUAUUUAAUAUGCAGCACUAUCUGCUCCAGGAGCAAGAACUGACUCCAAAUUUCUUAUGUGCUUCAUUAAGUCAGAGGAGUCUUUACUGGGAGAUGAAGAUGAUGACUGAGAUGCAGCCACCAGAACAGCUGCCCCAGUGUUGGUGGUUGGCAUUGGAAGUUCCCUCUCCUCGUUACCAGGACGUCUGUUCCACCCAGGAUCACUCAUAGGUCUCCGAACUGAUGACACUAUAUCUGAACUCCUGCUGCGGACUAGCCUUUCUGGGUCCGGGGCCUCUACAACAGGAGACAACACAGAGAAGAGAGAAAAAGCAUCACUACUCAAUGCCAGACUCCCUUAAAAUUCAUAUACAAAAAGAAGACUGUGCGGCUUGAUUUGGAAUAUUAUUUUUUAAGCUAAUUGAACCACUUCAGCGAGUCUUCUCCCUACACAGAAGGCAGGACUCUGCCCAGAAAGCAAUGCCCUAUUUGCACAGGCAUUUUGACAAGU